CUGUAAGCCGUCGAAGGUGGCCUGUGAGGGCUGCUGGAGGUAUCAGAAGUGCGAAUGCUGACAUAAGUAACGAUAAUGCGGGUGAAAAACCCGCACGCCGGAAGACCAAGGGUUCCUGUCCAACGUUAAUCGGGGCAGGGUGAGUCGACCCCUAAGGCGAGGCUGAAAAGCGUAGUCGAUGGGAAACAGGUUAAUAUUCCUGUACUCGGUGUUACUGCGAAGGGGGGACGGAGAAAGCUAGGUUAUCCGGGCGACGGUUGUCCCGGUUUAAGCGUGAAGGUGGAUGACUUUGGUAAAUCCGGGUCGUCAUUAACACUGAGGCGUGAUGACGAGUCACUACGGUGAUGAAGUAACCGAUGCUACGCUUCCAGGAAAAGCCUCUAAGCUCCAGGUAACAUCAAAUCGUACCCCAAACCGACACAGGUGGUCAGGUAGAGAAUACUCAGGCGCUUGAGAGAACUCGGGUGAAGGAACUAGGCAAAAUGGUGCCGUAACUUCGGGAGAAGGCACGCUGAUGGUAGGUGAAGUGACUUGCUCAUGGAGCUGAAAUCAGUCGAAGAUACCAGCUGGCUGCAACUGUUUAAUAAAAACACAGCACUGUGCAAACACGAAAGUGGACGUAUACGGUGUGACGCCUGCCCGGUGCCGGAAGGUUAAUUGAUGGGGUCAGCCGCAAGGCGAAGCUCUUGAUCGAAGCCCCGGUAAACGGCGGCCGUAACUAUAACGGUCCUAAGGUAGCGAAAUUCCUUGUCGGGUAAGUUCCGACCUGCACGAAUGGCGUAAUGAUGGCCAGGCUGUCUCCACCCGAGACUCAGUGAAAUUGAACUCGCUGUGAAGAUGCAGUGUACCCGCGGCAAGACGGAAAGACCCCGUGAACCUUUACUAUAGCUUGACACUGAACCUUGAGCCUUGAUGUGUAGGAUAGGUGGGAGGCUUUGAAGCGUGGACGCCAGUCUGCGUGGAGCCAACCUUGAAAUACCACCCUUUAAUGUUUGAUGUUCUAACGUGGACCCGUAAUCCGGGUUGCGGACAGUGUCUGGUGGGUAGUUUGACUGGGGCGGUCUCCUCCCAAAGCGUAACGGAGGAGCACGAAGGUUAGCUAAUCCUGGUCGGACAUCAGGAGGUUAGUGCAAAGGCAUAAGCUAGCUUGACUGCGAGAGUGACAGCUCGAGCAGGUGCGAAAGCAGGUCUUAGUGAUCCGGUGGUUCUGAAUGGAAGGGCCAUCGCUCAACGGAUAAAAGGUACUCCGGGGAUAACAGGCUGAUACCGCCCAAGAGUUCAUAUCGACGGCGGUGUUUGGCACCUCGAUGUCGGCUCAUCACAUCCUGGGGCUGAAGUAGGUCCCAAGGGUAUGGCUGUUCGCCAUUUAAAGUGGUACGCGAGCUGGGUUUAGAACGUCGUGAGACAGUUCGGUCCCUAUCUGCCGUGGGCGUUGGAAGAUUGAGAGGGGUUGCUCCUAGUACGAGAGGACCGGAGUGAACGCACCACUGGUGUACGGGUUGUGAUGCCAAUUGCAUUGCCCGGUAGCUAAGUGCGGAAGAGAUAACCGCUGAAAGCAUCUAAGCGGGAAACUUGCCUCGAGAUGAGUCUUCCCUGGGCACUUGAUGCCCCUGAAGGGCCGUUGAAGACGACGACGUAGAUAGGCUGGGUGUGUAAGCGUAGCGAUACGUUGAGCUAACCAGUACUAAUGACCCGAGAGGCUUAACCUU
rnacentral:rRNA from 1 species